AUAUCAGUAAGCGGAGGAAAAGAAAAUAACAAUGAUUACCUCAGUAGCGGCGAGUGAAGAGGUAAAAGCCCAAGAUGUUAAUCUGCAGCAAAACUGUAGAAUUGUAAUCUAUAGAAUUUCUCAGAAGGAGAGACUCGUCAUAAGUUCUUUGGAACAAGACACCAUAGAGGGUGAAAGUCCCGUCUUUGGAUGAGUCGAACUGUAUGAGACGUUUCUAAGAGUCGGGUAGUUUGGGAAUGCUGCCCUAAGUGGGAGAUAAACUUCUCCUAAGGCUAAAUAUAAGAUAGGAGACCGAUAGCGCACAAGUA
rnacentral:rRNA from 1 species